UACGUAGGGUGCGAGCGUUAAUCGGAAUUACUGGGCGUAAAGCGUGCGUAGGCGGUUCGCAAAGUCUGAUGUGAAAGCCCCGGGCUCAACCUGGGAACUGCAUUGGAAACUAACGGGCUCGAGUGUGGCAGAGGGGGGUGGAAUUCCACGUGUAGCGGUGAAAUGCGUAGAGAUCGGGAGGAACACCAGUGGCGAAGGCGGCUACCUGGACCAGCACUGACACUGAGGCACGAAAGCGUGGGGAGCAAACAGG
rnacentral:rRNA from 1 species